AAUCAGGUAGGACUACCCGCUGAACUUAAGCAUAUCAAUAAGCGGAGGAAAAGAAACUAACAAGGAUUCCCCUAGUAGCGGCGAGCGAAGCGGGAAGAGCUCAAAUUUAUAAUCUGGCACCUUCGGUGUCCGAGUUGUAAUCUCUAGAAGUGUUUUCCGCGUUGGACCGCACACAAGUCUGUUGGAAUACAGCGGCAUAGUGGUGAAACCCCCGUAUAUGGUGCGGACGCCCAGCGCUUUGUGAUACACUUUCAAUGAGUCGAGUUGUUUGGGAAUGCAGCUCAAAUUGGGUGGUAAAUUCCAUCUAAAGCUAAAUAUUGGCGAGAGACCGAUAGCGAACAAGUACCGUGAGGGAAAGAUGAAAAGCACUUUGGAAAGAGAGUUAACAGUACGUGAAAUUGUUGGAAGGGAAACGCUUGAAGUCAGACUUGCUUGCCGGAGCUUGCUUCGGUUUGCAGGCCAGCAUCAGUUUUCCGGGGUGGAUAAUGACGGUUUGAAGGUAGCAGUCUCGGCUGUGUUAUAGCUUUCCGUUGGAUACAUCCUGGGGGACUGAGGAACGCAGCGUGCUUUUUGCGAAAGACUCGUCUUUCACGCUAGGA
rnacentral:rRNA from 1 species